rnacentral:rRNA from 1 species
CUUGCUUCUCUUGAGAGCGGCGGACGGGUGAGUAAUGCCUAGGAAUCUGCCUGGUAGUGGGGGAUAACGUUCGGAAACGGACGCUAAUACCGCAUACGUCCUACGGGAGAAAGCAGGGGACCUUCGGGCCUUGCGCUAUCAGAUGAGCCUAGGUCGGAUUAGCUAGUUGGUGGGGUAAUGGCUCACCAAGGCGACGAUCCGUAACUGGUCUGAGAGGGUGAUCAGUCACACUGGAACUGAGACACGGUCCAGACUCCUACGGGAGGCAGCAGUGGGGAAUAUUGGACAAUGGGCGAAAGCCUGAUCCAGCCAUGCCGCGUGUGUGAAGAAGGUCUUCGGAUUGUAAAGCACUUUAAGUUGGGAGGAAGGGUUGUAGAUUAAUACUCUGCAAUUUUGACGUUACCGACAGAAUAAGCACCGGCUAACUCUGUGCCAGCAGCCGCGGUAAUACAGAGGGCGCAAGCGUUAAUCGGAAUUACUGGGCGUAAAGCGCGCGUAGGUGGUUUGUUAAGUUGGAUGUGAAAUCCCCGGGCUCAACCUGGGAACUGCAUUCAAAACUGACUGACUAGAGUAUGGUAGAGGGUGGUGGAAUUUCCUGUGUAGCGGUGAA